rnacentral:rRNA from 1 species
GUGCCAGCAGCCGCGGUAAUACGGAGGGUGCAAGCGUUGUCCGGAUUUAUUGGGUUUAAAGGGUGCGUAGGCGGCCCGUUAAGUCCGGGGUGAAAGCCCACAGCUCAACUGUGGAACUGCCCUGGAUACUGGCGGGCUUGAGUCCAGACGAGGUUGGCGGAAUGGAAGGUGUAGCGGUGAAAUGCAUAGAUACCUUCCAGAACCCCGAUUGCGUAGGCAGCUGACUAGGCUGGUACUGACGCUGAGGCACGAAAGCGUGGGGAGCGAACAGGAUUAGAUACCCCUGUAGUCC